UACGUAGGGUGCAAGCGUUGUCCGGAAUUAUUGGGCGUAAAGGGCUCGUAGGCGGUCUGUCACGUCGGGAGUGAAAACUCAGGGCUUAACCCUGAGCCUGCUUCCGAUACGGGCAGACUAGAGGUAUGCAGGGGAGAACGGAAUUCCUGGUGUAGCGGUGAAAUGCGCAGAUAUCAGGAGGAACACCGGUGGCGAAGGCGGUUCUCUGGGCCGAUACUGACGCUGAGGAGCGAAAGCGUGGGGAGCGAACAGG
rnacentral:rRNA from 1 species